rnacentral:pre_miRNA from 1 species
AAGUCAUCAUCAUGAUGAUGGUGAUGAUGAUGAUGAUGAUCAUCAUCAUCAUCAUCACCACCAUCAUCAUCAUCAUCAUCAUCAUCAUCAUCAUCA